rnacentral:lncRNA from 1 species
GCUCGAAUCAAAUUAAGUUUUAAAAAAGUCAAUAAAGUCAAAUUAAAUUAAAAAGGCAAAAAAAAAAAAAAAAAAAAAAAAUAAGAAACGUAAAAAUCCAACUUAUCGUUCUGGUUUUGUAAAAGCUGAACACAUUCAUCAUAUUUAUUAUAAACGCGUUUACCAUAAACAUUACUUCCAGCCUUCAUAUUUAUGUAAAAGUUGCCGCUGUACAUUAUGCCCCCAUUUAUCCAUUUGUAGGCGUCGGC